rnacentral:rRNA from 1 species
UCAACCUGAGAGUUUGAUCCUGGCUCAGAGCGAACGCUGGCGGCAGGCCUAACACAUGCAAGUCGAACGAACUCUUCGGAGUUAGUGGCGGACGGGUG